rnacentral:rRNA from 11 species
GUUUGCCCAUGCCUGCUCUAGAGCCACCAGAUCCCAUCUUAUCUUGGAAGCUGAACAGGGCCAGGUCUGCUUGGUAUUUGAAUGGGAGACUGACAUCGAAUACCAGGUGCUGUAGUCU